UCGAGAAUCUUCCGCAAUGGACGAAAGUCUGACGGAGCGACGCCGCGUGCGGGAUGAAGGCCCUUGGGUUGUAAACCGCUGUCAGAGGGGAUGAAAUCUUCGGAGGUACUCCUCCGAAGUUGACAGAGCCUCAAAGGAAGCACGGGCUAAGUACGUGCCAGCAGCCGCGGUAACACGUACUGUGCGAACGUUAUUCGGAAUCACUGGGCUUAAAGGGUGCGUAGGCGGCGAUUCAAGUCAGGUGUGAAAUGCCUGAGCUCAACUGAGGCAUUGCGCUUGAAACUGAAUUGCUAGAGUAUCCCAGGGGUGUGCGGAACUGCCAGUGGAACGGUGAAAUGUGUUGAUAUUGGCAGGAACACCGGAGGCGAAAGCGGCACACUGGGGGAUAACUGACGCUGAGGCACGAAAGCCAAGGGAGCGAACGGGAUUAGAUACCCCGGUAGUCCCUGAGCGGGCUGGCAAGGCGCAU
rnacentral:rRNA from 1 species